rnacentral:rRNA from 1 species
UACGAAGGGGGCUAGCGUUGCUCGGAAUGACUGGGCGUAAAGGGUGCGUAGGCGGAUGGCACAGUCAGAUGUGAAAUUCCCGGGCUUAACCUGGGGGCUGCAUUUGAUACGUGUUGUCUAGAGUGAGGAAGAGGGUUGUGGAAUUCCCAGUGUAGAGGUGAAAUUCGUAGAUAUUGGGAAGAACACCGGUGGCGAAGGCGGCAACCUGGUCCUUGACUGACGCUGAGGCGCGAAAGCGUGGGGAGCAAACAGG